rnacentral:ncRNA from 1 species
CACGGACCCGAGAGAGGAUCUCGGGUGGCUCUUCCGGCCGCCGAUCCGCCGGACAACC